UGCAGUCGAGCGGGCACUUCGGUGUCAGCGGCAGACGGGUGAGUAACACGUGGGAACGUACCCUUCGGUUCGGAAUAACGCUGGGAAACUAGCGCUAAUACCGGAUACGCCCUUUUGGGGAAAGGUUUACUGCCGAAGGAUCGGCCCGCGUCUGAUUAGCUAGUUGGUGGGGUAACGGCCUACCAAGGCGACGAUCAGUAGCUGGUCUGAGAGGAUGAUCAGCCACACUGGGACUGAGACACGGCCCAGACUCCUACGGGAGGCAGCAGUGGGGAAUAUUGGACAAUGGGCGCAAGCCUGAUCCAGCCAUGCCGCGUGAGUGAUGAAGGCCUUAGGGUUGUAAAGCUCUUUUGUCCGGGACGAUAAUGACGGUACCGGAAGAAUAAGCCCCGGCUAACUUCGUGCCAGCAGCCGCGGUAAUACGAAGGGGGCUAGCGUUGCUCGGAAUCACUGGGCGUAAAGGGCGCGUAGGCGGCCAUUCAAGUCGGGGGUGAAAGCCUGUGGCUCAACCACAGAAUUGCCUUCGAUACUGUUUGGCUUGAGUAUGGUAGAGGUUGGUGGAACUGCGAGUGUAGAGGUGAAAUUCGUAGAUAUUCGCAAGAACACCGGUGGCGAAGGCGGCCAACUGGACCAUUACUGACGCUGAGGCG
rnacentral:rRNA from 1 species